CUGCGAAAAGGCAUCUCCGUUUCGGAGUGGAUGUGCCGGUGGAAGUGGGUGGCAGAUCGCUCUUAAAUAAGAUAAGCCCCAACUAGAGCGCACCCAAAAGUAUGGAGCAAAUACCAGUUUAUUAACUAAAAACCUAGAGUUGAUACCCUUUACAGCCCAGUAACUCACUGCCAAAUGACCUUUUGUGGACUGCCAAAUUGUCAGUUGGCCAAGACCUGAUUGGUGUCACCGGCACUCUCGUCCUGACUAAAAUUUUAGUGCUUCAUUUAAUCGAUUUUCUAAAUAAAUGAUGGUCCAAAUCAAAUGCCAUUUAAUUAGCGAAA